rnacentral:rRNA from 2 species
UCGGAAUGACACUAAGCGAAUUAGUGGCGAACGGGUGAGUAACGCGUGAGUAACCUGCCUUACACAAGGGGAUAGCCUUUGGAAACGAAGAAUAAUACCCUAUAAAACUAUAAAAGCACAUGCUAGAAUGGUCAAAGUGCUAGCGGUGUAAGAUGGACUUGCGUCUGAUUAGCUAGUUGGUGAGAUAAAAGCUCACCAAGGCAACGAUCAGUAGCCGGCUUGAGAGAGUGUACGGCCACAUUGGGACUGAGACACGGCCCAGACUCCUACGGGAGGCAGCAGUGGGGAAUUUUGCACAAUGGGGGAAACCCUGAUGCAGCGACGCCGCGUGAUUUAGAAGGCCUUCGGGUUGUAAAAAUCUUUUGUAUAGGAAGAAAAUGACAGUACUAUACGAAUAAGGUCCGGCUAAUUACGUGCCAGCAGCCGCGGUAAUACGUAAGGACCGAGCGUUGUCCGGAAUCAUUGGGCGUAAAGGGUACGUAGGCGGCUAGAAAAGUUAGAAGUCAAAGGCUAUAGCCUCAACUAUAGUAAGCUUCUAAAACUAUUUAGCUUGAGAAAUGGAAGGGAAAGUGGAAUUCCUAGUGUAGCGGUGGAAUGCGCAGAUAUUAGGAAGAAUACCGGUGGCGAAGGCGACUUUCU